rnacentral:misc_RNA from 1 species
GAAUGAGCACAGAUUCACCAGUCUCUAAAAAUGAGACGCUGACAAAUUUAGAUGGGCACAACACUAUGUAUAGAAAUAUCCUAGUAUAAACAACGACUACAAGACAUGUAGAAAUCCAAUCAUAAGUAAACAAUUUUAGCAUCUAUAUCAUAAUAUAAAAACUCAGAAUAUUAGUACAUGUUUGGGUGAGUUCAUGAUGUGUAAGUCAGCCUGGAUAAAAAAGAAGUUAUGAAACACAAGGAUGGCCUCUGUUGCGCAACUGAACCAGUUGCAUCAUAUAUCUCAUAAUUUAUGUUACACACAAUAACUCCAUCAUUCCACUUCAAACCCUUGCUACCUCUUCAAACAAAAUCAGAAUCCCUCAAUCACACACAUAGAGUUGCUACUAAAAUACUAUUUAAUUUCAAUAAAUCUACACAAAAACCUGCAAUAUAAAGUGCAUUCUAACAAGUUAGCACAAGCAAUGCAACUAAUUAAACAAUUGAACAAAAUUGUCACAAAAUUCAGUAGGAAUGAAUGAGAAAAAGCGGGGAAAGGACUUGGCAUUAUUCCACAGAAAAGCCAAACUAGGAUGACCAAAUCUAUACUUCAAAUACCACAGUGCUAUUAUAUGCUAAGAGGAUAAUCCGCUUUGCAAUUCAAGUUUUUAUAA